AUGUGCAACUAUGUCCAGUUACAAGGCACAUGCACAGGCAGCGGGACGGGUAACUAUAUCCAAUUACAAGACGACAAAGGGAUAUGGCCUAGACAGCCACCGCACCUCUCGGGCGCAAUUCUAGGCCAGAUACGGGACAUUCUUUCCGUCUCCCUCGCAUGUGCGCUGCAUGCACCCCGUCCAAUCCACCGCUUUCGUUACAUUCUUAUCUGCCUCACCGCUUACUUCUCCGUCCUUAUCUCUUCUUCUUUUGGAUGCCUCUGCGGCUUGCCGCCCUUGAUGAUCGAGUGGAUAGCCCAGAAAAGCCCAUCGAGCCAGCGGCAGUCCACAAUCCCCCCUUCGCGUCCUUCCCCAGUCACCCCAUGCCCUAGGCUAGGGCGCCGUCGCCGCCAUCUCCACCGCACCAGUGGUGCGGCACCACCUCCCGCUUCCAAUCCCAUGGAGCCGCUGUCGCCGUCGUGUUUCUCGAAGAGGUCGUCAUCCAAGGACAUCGCCGGCGACCGAGCCAAGCCUUGCAAGGAUGACUCCUCUGCUCUCUCCCCUAUCCUGCCGACGCCCUCUUCAGCUCCUGCUCCUCCGCCGCCGUCAAAGGGGAUAGCCGGGGACCAAGCCGAGCCCUGCGUGGCUGCUCCCUCCCCUAUCCCGGUGAUGGCCUCUUCGGCCCCUGCUCCCCCGCCUCCUCCUAUUCUACCCCAAGAUUUGAUGGAAGUUACCAUGGGUGAUGUCGACGACCAAAUGGUGUUGACGAUCGACAAGCAAGCUGAAAAGUGGGAAGCCAUGGAGCAGGAACAACAUGUGUGGAAUGCUAUCGAUGAGGAACGGAAGCGGAAGGAAAAACGAAGGCAUAAGACGAGAAAGAAAAGCCUGGAAGAGAAGAGGAAAGAGAAGAGAGAAGAGAAGAGGAAGAAGCAAGAGAAGAAGAGGAAAAACCAAGAGGAGUUGCAGGAGGAGGAGGAGUUGCAGGGGAAGAGGAAACAUGCUCGUUCAAUGAACUGUUCCGAAUUUGUUCAAGGAGCUACAACAGAGGAGCUACAGAGACGAGAUUCUCCACCUAUGACACAUAGUCAAAGAGCGACAAGAUCACCAUUGGUAAGGUCACCGGUGGCGAGCACGUGGAGAUCUUCCCUUGGUCUUCUAGCAAGAGUUGCAGCCUCAAAAAGGGGCAGGUCUCCCUCAGCGAGGAUUGCAAGUUCCCCAUUGGAGGAGAGGGCAAAUUCGUCCGCGAGAUCACCAUCUAUCUUAGGAUCCCCUUCUCCAGUGACUACUCCAUUUGGAGGCUCAAAAAUUAAUCAUCCACAUGUCCGCAAGACAAGAAGGCUAACUUCUGCUGUUUGGAGGGAUUUCAAACCAAUGUACUUUCUGGUUCAAAAGGAAGCUUCAACAAAGGAUGAAGUCGUUCGAGCAAUGGUUGGAGAGAUGCAAAAAAAGUUUGAUAAGUAUUGGAUGGAAUCAUAUUUGCCAAACUGUAUUCCUGUGAUCCUUGGUCCACGAUUUAAAAUUUGCUUCAUCGAGUUUGGACUAAAACAAGCUUUUGGUCCAGAUGUAGAAAGACACUUUCUUGCAGUGAAAGAAGUUCUUGACAACCUUUUCGAAGAAUAUUCUUCACAAAUGACGAAUGCAUUGGAUGAGUCAGCACCCCGACAAAAAAUUGAUGAGGUUGUGAAUGAAGAGAAUGAUCUGUUGGCGGAUUGGGACCAACACUUGAAUAAGAAGCAACCCCAAACUGCUAGUGAGCUUGCCAGAUACUUAGAAGAAGACACAUUCACUCGCACGGAGGAUUUCAACAUUCUUCAAUGGUGGCAUCUUCACUCGUCUAAGUAUCCCAUCCUUUCUUGUACAGCUUGUGAUGUUCUUGUUGUACAAGCUUCCAUCGUAUCGUCAGAGUCGGCUUUCAGUACCGGAAAGCGUUUGAUCAGCGAUUACAGAAGUAGAUUGUGCAGCGAGACAGUGGAAGCCUUAAUCUGCCUUCAAGAUUGGUUUAGAUGUAAUGAUAAGCAUGCCAAUACUCCUGAUCAAGGUCACUACUAUUAA
rnacentral:rRNA from 1 species